rnacentral:tRNA from 1 species
GCCCGGGUGGUGAAAUUGGUAGACACGCACGAUUCAGGUUCGUGUGCUUCACGGCAUGCUGGUUCAAGUCCAGUCUCGGGCACCA